rnacentral:lncRNA from 1 species
AGAUGAACCUCACAAAGUAUGAGAUCAUGUGAGUGGGCGGUGCAGUGGACCAUACCGAUUUGGAGCUCUAGCCACUAUACAUCUUGGUGUGCCUUGUGUGCGUCUAACAAGGACCAAACAAUGUGAACAGUGAUGAUUGAAAGAGUUGAAAAGAGAUUAGCAGGAUGGCGGAGGAACUAUUCGUCAAAAGGGAGGAAGGGAGUACAGAGUGCUUUGUCGACUAUU